rnacentral:rRNA from 1 species
AUCUACAGCCACACCACCCUGAACUCACCUGGUCUCCUCCGAUCUUGGAAGCUAAGCAGACUCAGACCUGGUUAAUUCUUGUAUGGGGGUCUGGAGAGACAGGCAGGACUCUAGGGC